UAGAACUGGCGGGUCGGAUCUGGAGAUUCACUAUAAAUCCCCAAAUUUUGCCGCCAUUUCAAUAAAAUUCAAAUAAGAAAGCAGUAGCAGAUGAAUGUAUGAUCGAGAGAGAAGCUCAACACGGAAAAUACGUGCUAGGGUUCAAUUCCGUAGGAAACUUACAUUCCGCUGUCAGAUUUCGGAUUCUUGGAAGGUUUUGUGGAAUUUGUACAGCUCUACAUAGGUUUCGUACCUCGCGAUUAGAUUUCGAUUUGAAUUUCAAUUUCAAAUGCGUUAUUUUCUUGUCUCUGAUCUUCAGGUUAUUCCUACACUUGAUACUCAUCGGCGAUUUAUGAACUCUAAGUUCCGAUUUUGCUUGUAUUUCAAAUUCGUUUAGGACCGAAAGUAUUGUGGAUAAGCCAGUUAUUGAGCUCGUCUGAAGGUGAAAAUUUGUUGCCCAAGCACUUGAUAUUCUUAUUAUUUGUUUCGAGGGUUGAAAAAUAUAGGACUGAGGCAUUGAGAUCAUAUUUCCAGCUUGUUUGGUAAUGAGAUAUAGUAGUUGUAGUAGUAGUAGUUGUUGUGGUAAACUGAGCAUUUUACACUACCGGUGUAGUUUAGCUGAUAGCUGGUUAAUAUCUUUUACAGUUUGUCAAUUUUUAUCUAUUAUAUACAGUUACCUAUUAGUUGGCUUUAGUUGAUUUUAAGUACCGGGUAGUGUAAAAUAUUUUCUCUGUGUAAAACUUAAACCAUUUGUGAAGAAUUUGCUGUGCAACUACAUUCUGGCUAAUACUUCUGUUUACCUGAAUUCUUAGUUAUCUUGGUUCAUGCGUAAUCAUGAUGUUUUUCUUUGUAGAAAGUUGAGUAUUCAUCACCAUGAUAAACUCUGAUUUUGUCAACGCAUAAGCAGCAAGCAAUUUCAAGUGAUAGUUAGCUAGCUUUUGUAUGCCAGUUAUCAAAACUAGUUUUGUCAUUUUUGUGUUCCCAGUUAGUUUACUUCAGCUAUCCAAGUAUGAACUUUGAUAUUUCAACAGUUUAUAAGCAGCUAGAGGUUUCAGUUAUUGGAUAUUCUAGCAGCCAUUAGGCAGUUUUUCUUUCAAAUCAAGAAUGUUUGAAAUUGGAUUAGCCAGCUACAGCUGGCUGUUAAGUGGAUUGUCUCUUUCUGUAACUUGAGAUGCAAAGGUUGUUCUGCAAUGUUUUUGACUUUGCUGUAGCGAUAAUUUAGUCAUUUCUUAUUGACUAUUCUGUGUCUAUAUCCAUAGAAUGCAUUGGAUCAGAAAUGUUAUGCUCGGAAUUUUGAAUGAUUCCAGAACUUUGUAUAAUGUGCUAUGAAAUUGACAAUCAUCUUUGAAUGUUGAGAUGAGAUGCAAUGCUUGCUGGCGAGAACUGGAAGGACAGGCCAUCACCACCACUUGUGGCCACGUCUUCUGCCCGAACGAUGCUAGUAAGAUUCUCAGCAAUGAUGCCGCUUGUCCUAUCUGUGAUCAAGUUCUGUCUAAAAGUCUCAUGAAACCUGUGGAUGUUAAUCCAAGUGAUGAAUGGGCAAAUAUGGUCAUGACUGGAAUAUCACCACAGAUAUUAAUGAAGAGUGCCUACAAAAGUGUGACGUUCUACAUUGGGCAAAAAGAAUUGGAAAUGCAAUUCAAGGUGAACAAGUUAGUCGCUCAAUACCAACAGAAAUGUGAGAUGAUGCAAGAGAAAUUCGCUGAAAAGUUUGAGCAAGUGCGUACUGCAUACCAGAAAGUGGCUAAAAAGUGCCAAAUGCUGGAACAAGAGAUCGAGAGCUUAUCUAAAGACAAGCAGGAACUCCAAGAAAAGUUUGCUGAGAAAUCCAGGCAAAAAAGAAAACUUGAUGAAAUGUAUGAUCAGUUGAGAAAUGAAUAUGAUUCAGUAAAGCGCUCAGCCAUUCAGCCAAGUAAUUUCUUUUCAAGGACAGAGCCUGAUAUGUUCGCAAAUCCUGCUAAUAUGAUGGACAACAGAGAUCAUAUGGGAAAAGAUUGGUCGGUCACUCCUGAAACUCCAGGACCAAGAGAAGACAUAUGGCCUCCAGCAAGAAAGAAUAGUUCCAACUCUGGCCCUUUCGAUAUCUCGAGUGGAUCCCCUGCAAGACAAUCAGCAAUACCAGUGGAUACUGGAAAUAGAAGAGCAAGUGCUCGUCCUAUGCUUGGUGUUGGAACUGGAACAAGCAAUCCCUCACAGACCCUUAGGAAUCUCAUCCUUUCACCGAUUAAGAGACCUCAGCUCUCCCGCAACCGACCACAGAUGUUCACGUUUUGAAGUCGGGAGAUCUUUCAAUUUCAAUAAUGUGGAGAAAUAUAUACUUGAGAUGCAAGAAUGGAUCAGGUUUCCUGACAUUUUACAGUGGGAAACUUUGUUUUGUAUGCCAGAUAUUGGGUGUUUGGAGUGUAAAAAUAUGAAGAAAAGAUGCUCGAGCUAUAGGAGAAGAGGUUGGAUUUGGUGCACCCUUAGCAGUGAAGUCGAGAUAAGGCAUUAGCCUUAACAUCCGCACCUGGGCACAACAGAGAUGAAGGAACAGAGGGUGGAUGCUUCACAUCCACCCCAGCAUGCGAUGCUGAGAAGUUGAAGCUGAGGCGGACGCGAAGCAUCCAUCCCAACAUCAAUCCCUGAAGCUGAGGCGGAAUAGAAAAAAGGUAAACUUUGGCCCAUGACUUUUGUACGCAAUAUAUAAGCCAAAACGCCUCUUUUAGGUGAUCUAACACACUUGGAAGCGGAGAAAAGCCAUCACAGAGUCCGAAAACCACGGAAUUCGUCUUGAGUUCUUACUUUUUCCUUCUUUUAUUGAUUUGUAUGUAUUCUUGGGAAUUAUUUGAGAUUGCUACCAUAACUAUGCGUGGCUAAACUCAUUUAUUCUGGGAUUAUGGUUUUACAUGA